rnacentral:pre_miRNA from 1 species
UUUACCAGCACUCACUGGGGGUUUGGUCAGGAGAUCAAGUAGAUCUGACCAACCCUAAGUGAGUUUUUCUU